AUGCCGACGGCAUACCUCUACCACGUGGCUUUCCGUGGUGCCUCCUGGUGGCAGGGCUAUGCCGACGGCAAAGCCGUAGGCAUAGCUGUGCCACGUGUCGUCCCUUGGUGCUCCGUCGGCAUAGAUGAAAAUCUAUGCCGACGACUUUGGCGUAGGCAUAGCCCUGCCACGUGGCACGCCCUGGGAAGCCCUGGGCUCAUCUAUGCCGACGGCUUUGCCGUAGGCAUAGAUUUUAUUAUUAUUAUUUUCCCUGUUUUCUCUUUUUCAAUUCAUUUGGACAACAUUUCAAAUCAGAAAAUAUGGGCUUAUGCAGAAAUAUGA
rnacentral:rRNA from 1 species